rfam:Schistosoma mattheei strain Denwood, Zambia genome assembly, scaffold: SMTD_scaffold0007886
AUCCAUCUGACGAGUUCUAAAUAGAUCGAGACGCGCGUCCUGGAU